rnacentral:rRNA from 1 species
GAUGAACGCUGGCGGCGUGCUUAACACAUGCAAGUCGAACGGAAAGGCCCAAGCUUGCUUGGGUACUCGAGUGGCGAACGGGUGAGUAACACGUGGGUGAUCUGCCCUGCACUUCGGGAUAAGCCUGGGAAACUGGGUCUAAUACCGGAUAGGACCACUUCUUGGAUGUUGUGGUGGAAAGUUUUUUCGGUGUGGGAUGAGCUCGCGGCCUAUCCGCUUGUUGGUGGGGUAAUGGCCUACCAAGGCGUCGACGGGUAGCCGGCCUGAGAGGGUGUACGGCCACAUUGGGACUGAGAGACGGCCCAGACUCCUACGGGAGGCAGCAGGGGGGAAUAUUGCACAAGGGGCGCAAGCCUGAUGCAGCGACGCCGCGGGGGGGAGGACGGCCUUCGGGUUGUAAACUCCUUUCGCUAGGGACGAAGCGUUUUGUGACGGUACCUGGAGAAGAAGCACCGGCUAACUACGUG